CUAAAUUAAAUAUUUAAUGGCAAUAAUAUCGCAAUUUGGAUUUGAUUUCAACACGGUCGGCGAGGAACAAAAAUUUCGAGAUUGAAAUUAAUUAUUUUGAACAUUGAAGCAAUCGAGGUUUUUCCUUUAUUCGCAAUUUGGCAAUGGUUUCAACACGGUGAGGGACAAUAAGAUCGAGAUUAAAAUUAUUAUUUUGAAUAUUGAAGCAUACGCGGAUUUUCCUGUUAUCGCAAUUUGAAAUUGAUUUCAACACGGUCGGUGAGGAACAAAAAUUUCGAGAUUGAAAUUAAUUAUUUUGAACAUUGAAGCAAUCGAGGUUUUUCCUUUAUUCGCAAUUUGGCAAUGGUUUCAACACGGUGAGGGACAAUAAGAUCGAAAUUGAAAUUAUUAUUUUGAAUAUUGAAGCAAUUACGGUUUUUCCUGUGUUAGCAGUGGUAAGGAGAUAGUAACAGGUAUACAUCGUGAAAGUAAAAUUAAAUAUCCCGGUAAGAAUUACUCUUUUAUUGAUUUUCAGUA